CCUACGGGAGGCAGCAGUGGGGAAUCUUGCACAAUGGAGGAAACUCUGAUGCAGCGAUGCCGCGUGAGUGAAGAAGGCCUUUGGGUUGUAAAGCUCUUUUGUAGGGGAAGAUAAUGACUGUACCCUAAGAAUAAGGUCCGGCUAACUUCGUGCCAGCAGCCGCGGUAAUACGAAGGGACCUAGCGUAGUUCGGAAUUACUGGGCGUAAAGCGCGCGUAGGCCGUUGAGUUAGUUAAUUGUGAAAUCCCAAAGCUUAACUUUGGAACUGCAAUUAAAACUGCUCGACUAGAGUUUGAUAGAGGAAAGCGGAAUACAUAGUGUAGAGGUGAAAUUCGUAGAUAUUAUGUAGAACACCAGUUGCGAAGGCGGCUUUCUGGAUCAACACUGACGCUGAGGCGCGAAAGUAUGGGUAGCAAAGAGGAUUAGAUACCCUCGUAGUCCAUACCAUAAACGAUGAUUGCUAGAUGUUGGAAAUUUAUUUCAGUAUCGCAGCUAACGCAUUAANANAUCGCNGGNGACGACGCAGUAACUACAAGAGUAGAGCGNGAGAGNGCGAGACGACACGAGGAGAG
rnacentral:rRNA from 1 species